UUCUCAUUCUUGUCCAAUUUUUCACCAACUACUAUGAGCCAAAAGUAGUAGUACUUCACCAAAAUGGGGUGGCUUCAAUCCCUACUCUGCCCAUUGAAGAAGCUUUGGCUUCGGAUCCAUUCAACCAAUAAAAGACGUAGAGGAUUAUACAUCUUAUACAAGGAUGUUAAGUCAUGCCCAUGUGAAGAUGUGCAAGUUCUUUGGUCAAUAUUGGUCGAGUCGGGUGCAGCCUCUACUUUGCCAUCAAAAUAUACACGCUAAGGGAUUUCAAUUAUCUACCUUUGGGUGAGUUUCGACAAAUUUGGAAGAGAAAAUUUGAAAAAAAAAAUGAAGAAAUAUGGAGAAAGAGAUGAGAUAGAUAGAAAGAAAGGCAGGUAUAUUUUGUUUCUGAUAGACAAUCUUUACCCCACAUCAAGACUAAUAUAUAUAGCGAGAGAAAAUAUAUUGACAUAGUUUCCCUUUCAAAUACUUGUAAAGUUUACCCAAAAAAAAUAAUUGUAAAGUUUUUUUUUUUUUUUUUUUUUUUACGAAUAAUAUAAUACUUGAUUCAACCCAAAAAGAAUAUAAUACUUGUAAAGAUAUUCAGCAUUUUUAUGUGCUGAUUUCUGGUGGCCUCUGCAUGAUUUAUAUAUAAUAUUUUUAAGGAA